AAAAAGGCAAACCGUGGGUUUUCGUGCCAACGUUUGACUGUCCAUAAAAAAUUUUAUAAUUAUUAUUUUCAUUGUUGUUAGAUAUAAAACAUGAUUAAUACUUUAUGCGUGACUUAUUUUUUUAAUUUUUUCAAAUAGGACGGAUAGUCAAACGUUGGACACGGAAAUCAGGGUUUGUCUUUUU
rfam:Oryza sativa Japonica Group DNA, chromosome 4, cultivar: Nipponbare, complete sequence.